rnacentral:lncRNA from 1 species
AACUAUUGCCCAUGGGGUGUAACUUGUUGUCUGAAAGUCUUUAGACUAAUUUGUGCCUCUAAGGCAAGAGUUAUAGAGUAUCUCAUAAAUCAAGACAUAAUGUGAUAGUGUCAACUCUUACCCAAGGAGAAUAAUUUAUUUUUUGAAUGUCCUUGGUUUAUAUAAUAUCUCAUAGAUCAAGACACAAUGUUAUAGUGUCAAACCUUUCCCAUGAAGUGUAACUUAUUGUUUAAAAG